rnacentral:misc_RNA from 1 species
GGUACAAUGUUUUUUUCAGGAGGCGUAGAAAAACAAAAUAGUUGAGUUUUGCUAAAUGUUAUUAGAAAAAGUUGGGGUUUUUAUCAACUGAUUUAAUAAAAAAUUUCUAAAAUAGAAGUGCCACUAUGGCUUCACAUUUGGAUCCUCAGCUUGAGGACCGAAUUUUGCAUGAGGUAAANUCACAAGGUGUUUUCGAUGAAUUUCGAAAAGAUUCUAUGGCAGACGUGGACACCAAACCUGCUUAUCAAAAUCUUCGACAACGCGUUGAAAGUACUGUGAAAAAGUUUCUAUCUGAACAACAAUGGACGCCGGACAUGAAUAAAAAUCAAUUACGUGAGAAAUUGCGCAGACAUAUUACAGAAUCUGGGUUUUUGGAUGUAGGCGUGGAACGUAUAGUUGAUCAAGUAGUGAACCCGAAAAUAGGUACCGUUUUUCAACCGCGCAUUGAGGAAAUCACAUACAAAUAUUUAGGACUGCCACCACCACCCGUUAAACACGAACCGCCUACACCAAUCAUGCAUCCACUACCACCGUUGCCAUUGACUGGACCGCCUUUGAAAAUAGAAACCAGCAGCCUUUUGCCAACUGGACUGGAACAAGUGAGUCCUGAUUCCGAUAAAGCGACAGUAAAAUCUGAAUGUUACGGAGACGACCCAUCCGUCAUGGAUAUGGACGUGGAUGUCGAUGAUAAAACGGCAGACGAGGAUGACGAGUCACCACCUUUCGAACCACUUGUGAAAUGUGUUGAACCAAAUAAAACUGUGAAGUCAGAAAUUAAAAAUGAAGAUCUAGNUGAUAUGAAGCAACAAUUCAACAACGUUAAAGUUGAAGCAAUACCAAGCGGAAGUAUGAUAAAAGUUGAACCAGGUAAUCAACAAGAUUCAGAAACACAGGACACCUCCGUGUCGGCAAAUUCAACAGAUCCCGAAAUUGCGAAGCAUGCCAAUAUAUCGUUUGGAACGGAAGCGCUAUUAUCACAAGAUUCUCAACUAUCGCAAGUGUCGAGUGACAGUAACAUCUCUGACGUAACAGCGAAUGCAUCACAUAGUUUCAUGGAUAAUUCUAGUACGCACAACACACCACAACAAACAAUUUCCGAUCAAACAGCAGCAGCUAUUGAAUUAGCUUCAGCGAAUAUAUCUGAGGAGGCACAAAUGCCAAAAUUCAGUGAAAAUUCAUCGGAAAUGUUAUGCGCAAAGUCAGCGCCGUCUGAACUACAUUUCGAUAUUAAAAAAGAUGAGAUUAAAUUUGAAGGNACUGAGCGAAAAACGAAUUUGUUGGAACAAGAAGGCGAAUGUAAUUCAGUAACUGCUGAUGAUAUAUCGUUGAGACAAGUGAAUACAUUGUGUGAAAAUUUAGAAAGUAAGGAGGCACCACAUCACUUUGGUAAUUUAACAAUUGAUACUGAUGUGGAGCGCAUACAAGNUCCGGGUAUCACAACACCUGCAGCAACACCUACGCCUACUCCUCUUGACAGCAGUUUCGGUUCUUCCUUAGAAGAUGUAAGUACUCAACAUUACAAAGAGGAAGUUGCAGUCGAAACCAAAGCUGAAUCUGUGAAUGUAACAGAUGAAGUAUUUCCAAUACCUAUGCAAGAGCAGCGAGAUAAAAAAGAAGCAAGUACUUCACGAAAUCACGGUUCCUCGUCAUCGUCUUCGCGACACAAAAAGCAUUCUAAAGAUAAGCGACGAUCGCACAGCUCUAAAGACAAGUAUAAGGAUCGGGAUCGAAGCAAAAACAGGAGUAACGAGAAGGAUAGGAGUAGUGAUCGGGAUAGAAGUAGCGAUAAAAGAAGACAUAAAGAGAAAGACAAGCACAGNGAUAAAGAGAAGAACCACAAGGAGAAAUAUAGAAGCAAGGAUAGAACACGCACCCACGACAAGAGUACAAAGGACAAGAACGAUAAUACCGAACGUAGCAGUAGCUCCAAACGUUCUAGUUCCUCCACCGGCCGCUCACAUGAUACAAGUUCAAGUAACAAAAAUGAAAAGCAAGUUACAUCGAAACAUUCGAGCGCUUUCACGUCUUCAUCAAGUUCGUCCAGUCGAUCAGAGAGCCACGAUGCGAAGCGUGAGAAACGCGAAAAUGAGAAAAAGUAUCAUCGAAGCAGUUCGAACAACGGUGGUAGCUCAAAACAAGAUGAUGGCAGUACAGAAACUACCAAAACUGAAGCGCUCGUUGAUGAUCACAAUAGUGAAAAGGCGAAUAAAGUGAGCCGUCGUAAGUCAACCGAUUCGAAUGACGAGGGUGGAAGUGCUAGUGGCACAAAUCGUAAAAAUGGCGGCAGUGAGCACGAAAAAGUUGGUCAAAAUACCAUAUCAAAUAACAGCGAGAANAAACAAAGUCAAGUUAGAGAUACGAAAAACUCUUCGCGUAGUCCAAAAGGGAAGUCAAAAAAUAAUCUCGAAGAGAAAACCGCUACCGCGUCGACUAUGAUAACCGAAGAUGUAAGUUCAAAUGCGUUGGCGACACAACCACAUGGCAAUAAAGUUGUCAUUUUAAGUGAUAUGCUUGAAAAUCCCAACAUCAAUUUCAUCGAUCUGGGACCAUCAUCAGCCACUUAUACUCACACCUCCGACAUGAUUCUCAAAGAUUGCAAAAUGGAGACCAAAUCAACUAAACGCGCUGUUACCCCAGUUGUACCGAAUACUCAAGCUGCCACCGGGCUCACAACGGCGGAUGAGUGUCAGCUACUUUUCUUCGAAGAAACAAGUGAACAAUUUUCAGAUCGCUUGCGUUUAAUAGAUAACGCAAUGGAUCGCUGUCGUCGUGUGGUUAACAAUUUACGUUUCGAUUGUGUCAAUCAGUUGUGCGACACUUAUGAAGAACGGCAAAAUGAAGGCGAGACNGAUGGCAGUGAAAGGCCACAAACCUGUGCUACUCUUAAAAUCGAUUGUGUGCCCACAUAUGCUGGAGAUCGUGAAUACUUCAACAGAGGCGAAAGGAGUGCGGAUAGCCCGAUCGGCAGCACGUUCGAUGGCGUCUGCGACUUGCAUGGGAAACGUAAACGAAAUAAUAACGGUAGCCUUGUACAAAGUAAGCCCUCGCCCACUCCAUCCGAUGCGAGCGCGAACUCCAAAGAGAAUAUGGCGUUGGAUAAAAAUGCCGAUAUGCAUACAAAUUAAAUCAAAGAAAAGCAAAACUCAAUAUGAAGCGUUUAUUAGGUACUGGUAAAAAUGUAGCGUCUACGCGUAUCGCAUGACCUAAUAACAUAGUCAGUCAUAAAAGAGUUCAUUAAAAACAAAUGUAAACAAAAAACAAAAACAAAAAUGUAUAUCCUACAAACCAUGCUGGAUGAGGUGAAAUGCGUUCGCCGCAUUGCGCCUGUAAAUAAAUUGAGUCAACAGCGUUAUAACAGCGAGGAUUUGUACAAACCGCGUCCUGUU